GUUUUAACUGUUUAACUAUAUAAAAGUUCAAUCCAAAGGAAGUUUUAAAAAUGUGUGGAAUUAUCUACUUCCUAACAUACGUGCUUGGCUGGGCAAUCGCAGCCACUUCUGGAAAAGGAAAUAAAAUUUCUUGCAGUAACUGUUCGGAAGUAAACAGAAAUUGUAAAAUUAAUGUAAGCGGACACAGUUGCAGGAACCUGCCCCAUGACUAUAACAGCAGCAGUGGUGUAGAUUGGACCGCCUAUGACCCUCUGUUACAUGGGCAAGCUAGCAAAAAUAUUAAAAACUGCGUUCCAGCCGGCAUGAAUUUAAGUGAGCUUGUUUCAGAGAAUCACUAUUUCUGUUGUACUUGGUCAAAGAAGCUUGGCUGUCAGCAAGUCCAAUUCACGGACCAUCCCCUCUUUGUGCAGUGCAAUUGGUGUCUGGCCGCUGAAAAGGUCCCUGGGAAGGAAGACUAUAGUCGUUGUCCCUGCAACAAUAGCGCUAGAGAUCUGAGCGAUACCUGGCUUUUUGCCUUUAUCUGUUAUAUCUAUGUCUAUAUCUAUUUAUAAAACGCUAUCUGAUGUUCGCUUAAAGAUCAUCCAAGCCCUGCUCUCUAACCUUAAAGACUUGUAGCUGCGCAAUAUUCUGAAUAAAUUAGCAAAAUAAAUGUACUAGAA
rnacentral:sRNA from 1 species